GUAAUGUGAUGAUCACCUCAUGCGCUUCAUCUGAUUUGGAAUGCCCACUGCUCGUUUGUGAUGGCUGUAGCGUUUUGCUGCUGUCGUUGCAACUGGCAGAGUUGUGGCUCUCUGAAGCAUGACCAAACUUAGAUGCUGAUUAC